CUUGUCUUUUACCAGCAUCCAUGGAAUUGUGGCAAACUAACUUAUUACAACUUAUGGUUAUUUUUGUGAGUGUUCUACCACUUCUAGCAUUACUCUACAUCGCCAAAUUUAGAAUAGUAUCUAGGAGACUGAAGCAACUGCUGGACUGAGAGUGAAGAAACCAGAAUUCUUCCCUGGUCUGCCAAUAAUUAACUAUUAGACAUUGAGUAGGAGGAAAUGUGAUUAACAUUCAUUGAGCAUUUACUAUGUGUAUGUCAUCCUGCCAAAUUAAUGUAUUCAUUUAAUAUGCAUACAUUCUAUCCAAAUGAAAGUUGUAGAAACUGAGGCAGAGACUGUUAAGUGUUUGUCCUGAGGUUGUAAAACUAAUUGGCGUAUUCAAGUUUUGAACCCAGGAAAUUUCCAGUUGCAGAAUGAUACUCUUAACCAAUGCUUUCUGUAUGAUGCAAAGAUUAUGAAUGUUGGAUACAGACAUACCUGUGUUAAUAUCUGGGUCUACCACUAUUCUCUUUGUGGCCCUAGGCAAAUUACUUAAACUUCUUAGCCUUAUUUUUAACAAUAUUAGAAUAUUGUACCUACUUUGAAGGAUGUUUAUGUGAAUUAAACCUGAUGAUUGAGAUGGUA